rnacentral:sRNA from 1 species
AUCUUCCAACAAAAUCGUAACGUAAACGUAACAGUAAUUACCGGAAUUGACAUUUUAAGAUUAAUACCAGAUUUUGACAAGUGAAACAUCAGUUUAUAUAACUUGGCGGUUUAUAUAAACACACUUAAAAAUAAAAAAUACCCGAUUUUGGACCCUCACGUUCAAUACGUUUUCAUUUGAACGUAACGUAAACGUAAGCCAAUCAACCGAUAUUGACACAAUUAACGAUUGUAUAUAUUUCUUGGCGGUUUAUAUAUACAAAUCAAGCAAAUUCAACUAAUUUUGGACACUUACGCUCCAUACGUAACUGUAACGUAAACGUAAGAUAAUUACCUGAUAUUUACAAUAUAAAAAAAAACACAAAACAGUGUAUUAUAUAACUUGGCGGUUUAUAUACAACUAAAGAAAAAUAAAUAAAUUUUUGACAAAAUUUACGUUCGAUAUCUUUCAAAAAAAAAAAAAAAUCGUAACGUAAACGUAACAGUAAUUACCGGAAUUGACAUUUUAAGAUUAAUACCAGAUUUUGACAAGUGAAACAUUAGUUUAUAUAACUUGGCGGUUUAUAUACAACUAAAGAAAAAUAAAAAAAAAAUCGACAAAAUUUACGUUCGAUACCUUUCAACAAAAUCGUAACGUAAACGUAAGAGUAAUUAUCGGAAUUGACACCUUAAGAUUAACUUGGCUAUUAAAAUAACAACUAUAACGGAAAUUAAUUCAAAAUUGGAUAUUUGCCUACAAUACGUUUUUUAAGAGACGUAAGCCUAGAAUUAAUACCAGAUUUUGAAAUAAACACAACUGGGUGUAUAUAACUUGGCGGUUUAUAUAUACAUCAAAAGUAAAAAAAAAAACCUAAUUUGAAAAAUCUACGAUUCUUAAAUCGUAAUCGUAAUUCUGCAGUAGAAGUGAAAUUAAUACCGGAAUUGACAUCGAAACCCACCAACAUACAAAGUGGCGAUUCAUACGUAUCGGAUAUAAAGUGACCCUUGUUCCGUAACUGUAACGUUAACGUGAUACAAUCAACCGAUUUCGACCGAAACCCACAUCAGUGUAGAUAACUUGGCGGUUUAUAUACAUCUAAGGUGAAUUUACCCAAUUUUGGAUAUUUUAUGUUUAAUGCAUAAUAACAUAACUGCAACGUAAACAUAACGUAAAUACCGGAUUUUUAAUUUAAACAUAAUAACAGUGAUUUAUAAUUGUGUGUGUGUAAACACCAAUAUACACAACAAAUAACAUAAAUCAAACACAAUUUUGUCCACUUGUGUAAAAUUGCAGUUAUUUAACGUAACAUAACUGCAACGCAAACGCAAGACAAUUACUGGAUUUUGACGAAACGUGGAUCAAUAUCAAAUUUAAAGUCCUUCGAAAAGUGUUAACAGCCAACCAGCCAUUGGAAAUUGGAAAAAAAUACCACGUAACUGGAAAUCAAAACCUACGUAACUGGAAAGUAAACGGAGCCCAAAUAAUCAACUAAAAUACGCAAAACUCGAUCAGUGUUUAAAAAAUAUAUAUUAAAUAAAUUAAAUAUAUAUUAAAACACAUUUCUUGUAACAGCAUAAAUUUUUGAUAUAUAUGUUACGUUUCCGUAAAGUACACGGUGAACCAGUGUUUUGACUCUAAACGAGACUCUUAAAUUUGAAAUAAAACUCUAGUGUUAAAAUCUGAAAAAAUUGGACCAAUGAACUACAGUGUAAAAGUGAAAAACAGAUUUUAACAACAAAUAAAGAAAAGAUCCCAAAAACAACGAAAAAAAAGCUACCAGUCUCAUUGAAAGUCCUUCGAAAAGUGUUAAAAUCCACACCAAAUGCAGACUGGCCAAGUGCAGCAGUAGAAACAACACGGGAUAGAUCCAUUUGUAACGUGAACGUAACAUAAAAAUUCUAUUGUUUCAAACAACAAAAAAUUCCACCAGUCUCCUUAAAAGUCCUUCGAAAAGUGUUAAAAUUCACACCAAAUGCAGGCUGGUCGAGGGCAACAAUAGAAACAUCACCGGAUAGAUCUAUUUGCAUCUAAACGUAACGUAAACGUAAAAGAUUAAACCAAUUGUGACCACUCAAAGUAUCGAAAAAUACUUGAGAAAAAAAGUCCUUUUAAACGAUUUAAAAGGCUAAACGAAUUCUGACGUAUCAAUAAGAACAGCAGAAAAUCCUUCAAAAAAGUGAUAUAAAAAUCCGGACUCUGCCUGAUCUUUUUCAUCAACACCAACAACACUCAUCAUUAAGUCCUUCGUGAUAGUGUUGUAGAGGAGAUCACUCACCGUGUUUUUUAAAAAAAAAGUACUUCAAAACCAAAUUUAAAACGAAAGUAAAUCUAAACCCUGCUAAGACCCAUCACUUCAAAGUCCUUCAAGUUAAAGUGAUAACAAGAAAAUUGCUCUCUCACAUCUAUUCGAAUUGUUAAGUCGAAUAAUAAAACAAAUACAAAAUUGUCAAGUCCUUCUCAAAGUGCUAAAAUAAACAAGAUCUACUCAAUCAAAACUUAAAUUAGCCAAUACCACGACACAGCUAAUUAACUCUGCCUUUUGAAAAUCAAACUUGUUUUUCAAAGAAUAUCAAAAAUCAAACAAAUAAAGCCAAACAAAGCCCAUUUUAUACCAUUGGAAGUAUUAUACACAAGAUUAAUACUUCUAAAAGAUAAAUACAAUCUUCGAAAAGCCCAAAAGUAUCCGAGUUGGAAAAAAAAUCGAUUGCCUUCGAUUACGAUCCAAACAACCUCUUAAACUGAAAAGUGGUCACAUCGCCUACAAGCCGAGGAUAUCCAACCAAAAUUCAUGAAAGUUUGAGGAUUGUUGGAAAACAAAACAAUCUGAAGUCAACUUGAAGCCAUUGAUAAACGGACUCAACCCAGAACCCAUAACCGUGUUCUGUCGAAUAAUCGGACAAAUUAGUUUUUUGCAAUAUUUCGGAAUAUUUGCUAAGACCUUAAAAUGUCGUUUUUAAAUGUG